UUAAUUUCAUGAAAUGAUCCUUCUUAAUUUGGAACCCUCAUAAAUAUUAUCCUCCUCUCUCAUUUUUCUCCAUUUGGAUAAUGAAUCAAGUUACAAAGGAAAUUAAUUAAAGCUGUAUUAUGGAUGACUCAGGACUUCCAUAUUUCCUCCUUCAGGCGCACCUCUGCAUAUUGGUGUGCAUUUCUGCUUGCAGCUUGAAGGCGAGACGCCUUUAAAACUCAUGCAUUCUUUGUGGCAAGAAUCAUAACAGUUUUUGUUCAUCUUACCUUCCCCUGACCAACCCCAUCCUUUUCCUUUGAUAGCUUCUAUCAAAUCCCAUCCUUCUGCAACUUUUAUGGAUAUCGUCAUCAUUAUCAUCAUCACCAUCAUUACACUCACCGUUUUAUUGGAUUUCAUCAUCGUGUUCUUGAUUGGAGAGGUUUGAUCGGCUUGAAAUGGAGAAAAAGAGAAAAGGAAGAUGAAGGAAGGAUGAGGUUGCC
rnacentral:lncRNA from 1 species